ACUACGGAGAGUUUGAUCCUGGCUCAGGAUGAACGCUGGCGGCGUGCUUAACACAUGCAAGUCGAACGAACCUUCGGGUUAGUGGCGGACGGGUGAGUAACGCGUGGGAAUCUGCCCUCAGGAGGGGGAUAACGGUUGGAAACGACCGCUAAUACCCCAUAUGCCGAGAGGUGAAAUGAAUUUCGCCUGAGGAUGAGCCCGCGUCUGAUUAGCUAGUUGGUGUGGUAAUGGCUCACCAAGGCUUCGAUCAGUAG
rnacentral:rRNA from 1 species